rnacentral:rRNA from 1 species
UACAGAGGGUGCGAGCGUUAAUCGGAAUUACUGGGCGUAAAGGGCGCGUAGGCGGUUAUGUAAGUUAGAUGUGAAAUCCCCGGGCUUAACCUGGGAAUGGCAUUUAAUACUGUAUGACUAGAGUAGAGUAGAGGGAAGUGGAAUUUCCGGUGUAGCGGUGAAAUGCGUAGAUAUCGGAAAGAACACCAGUGGCGAAGGCGGCUUCCUGGACUCAUACUGACGUUGAGGCGCGAAAGCGUGGGUAGCAAACAGGAUUAGAUACCCUGGUAGUCCAUGCUGUAAACGAUGAAAACUAGAUGUUGGAGGGUUAAACUCUUCAGUAUCGAAGCUAACGCGAUAAGUUUUCCGCCUGGGGAGUACGGCCGCAAGGCUAAA